GGGUCGGUUGAAAACAAAACUUUACGACAAAAGAGAUGAUUUCAGCUUUCCAAUUGUGAACUUUCCAUUUCUAAGUAGCAACAUUCCAGCAGCACCUGCAUACGGGGUAUAUAUAUCUCCCAAUUGAUACGAUAUUCCCGUGCUUGCAUUUCCUAUCAUGAUUUUCUUGAUAGAGGGUUACUGCUCACAAGAAAGCUAUUAAACCAAG
rnacentral:lncRNA from 1 species